rnacentral:rRNA from 1 species
GACGAACCGUGCGAACGUUGUUCGGAAUCACUGGGCAUAAAGGGCGCGUAGGCGGCUUAUCAAGUCAGGGGUGAAAUCCGGCAGCUUAACUGUCGAAGUGCCCUUGAUACUGAUGAGCUCGAGGGAGAUAGGGGUGUGUGGAACUUCCGGUGGAGCGGUGAAAUGCGUAGAUAUCGGAAGGAACACCUGUGGCGAAAGCGGCUCACUGGACCAUAACUGACGCUGAGGCGCGAAAGCUAGGGGAGCAAACAGG